UCUACGGGUGGCAGCAGUGAGGAAUAUUGGUCAAUGGACGCAAGCCUGAACCAGCCAUGCAGCGUGAAGGAAGACUGCCCUACGAGUUGUAAACUGCUUUUGUACGAGUGUAAAGGGAGGCACGUGUGCCUGUUUGAAAGUAUCUUAUGAAUAAGGAUCGGCUAACUCCGUACCAGCAGCCGCGGUAAUACGGAGGAUUCGAGCGUUAUCCGGAUUUAUUGGGUUUAAAGGGGGCGUAGGUGGGUGGUUAAGUCAGAUGUGAAAGUUCGAGGCUCAACCUCGAAAUUGCAAUUGAUACUGGCCGCCUAGAGAAUAGUUGCGGUAGGCGGAAUUCGUGGUGUAGCGGUGAAAUGCUUAGAGAUCACACAGAACUCCGAUUGCGAAGGCAGCCUACUAAGCUGCCACUGACAUUGAUGCUCGAAAGUGUGGGUAGCAAACAGGAUUAGAUACCCGUGUAGUC
rnacentral:rRNA from 1 species